UACGUAGGGUGCAAGCGUUGUCCGGAAUCAUUGGGCGUAAAGCGCGCGUAGGUGGCUUUGUAAGUCCGUUGUGAAAGUCAAAGGCUCAACCUUUGAAUGCCGAUGGAUACUGCGGAGCUAGAGUACGGAAGAGGCGAGUGGAAUUCCUGGUGUAGCGGUGAAAUGCGCAGAUAUCAGGAGGAACACCAAUGGCGAAGGCAGCUCGCUGGGACGGUAUUGACGCUGAGACGCGAAAGCGUGGGGAGCAAACAGG
rnacentral:rRNA from 1 species